rnacentral:rRNA from 1 species
AUUGAACGCUGGCGGCAGGCUUAACACAUGCAAGUCGAGCGGAGAGAGGUAGCUUGCUACUGAUCUUAGCGGCGGACGGGUGAGUAAUGCUUAGGAAUCUGCCUAUUAGUGGGGGACAACAUUUCGAAAGGAAUGCUAAUACCGCAUACGUCCUACGGGAGAAAGCAGGGGAUCUUCGGACCUUGCGCUAAUAGAUGAGCCUAAGUCGGAUUAGCUAGUUGGUGGGGUAAAGGCCUACCAAGGCGACGAUCUGUAGCGGGUCUGCGAGGAUGGUCCGCCACACUGGGACUGAGACACGGCCCAGACUCCUACGGGAGGUAGCAGUGGGGAAUAUUGGACAAUGGGCGCAAGCCUGAUCCAGCCAUGCCGCGUGUGUGAAGAAGGCCUUAUGGUUGUAAAGCACUUUAAGCGAGGAGGAGGCUACUUUAGUUAAUACCUAGAGAUAGUGGACGUUACUCGCAGAAUAAGCACCGGCUAACUCUGUGCCAGCCGCCGCUGUAAUAC